rnacentral:rRNA from 1 species
AUGGUUAUAACAGGAGGAGAUGCGGAUGGCAAUGAAGGAGAUCGUUCUGGAAGUCAGUCGCUUCGCCGGAACUCGAAUCAUCCUGCUAAUCGCCAGCCACGACCUGCGCAGAGUGUUGAGCAGGGAGAGGAUGUUGAGGAUGCUGAUCAGUUCCGUGUUGUAAAGCGGAUUAGACGUGCAUCACUUGGCAAGGGAGCUGAGUCAUCUUCUAGGGCAGUAGUUGCUGGAGAAGCUGUCGCAUCUUCCGCAGCAGAUGCUGAGGGUAGCGGUGAAGGAGUUGAGGUGGCUCCAGGGGAAGAUGUGGAGCGACCAUCACAAGCAGGCAGGAUAAGGGCAUCACCAGCGCGCUUUGCAAAUUUCAACGCCUCUCUAUCCGUACUACAGAAGUCAGAGCUAGUUUCGAGGUUGUUCGGGGGGCUAUUGAACUUAUCAGACACACUUCCAGCGGACCUCACUAAGUUCCUGGUGCAGUCCUACCAGACAUAG